GUGAGCGUUCGGAUACACGUUCGGGUUUGUAUCAGAUAUUUCAGUAUAAAGUUAUAGAACCCGUUCGGGUAUUUCUACACUUCGAGUCAGGUUCGGAUAUUUCUACACUUCGAAUCGGGUUCGGGUAUUUUAUGUUCGGGUUCGGAUAUUUUGGGUCGGGUUUGAAUAUUUAAAUUUUGAAUAAAAAUAAAUAAAUUAUUCAUUGUUUAAGCUUUUUGUAUUUAAAAUAUAUUUUAACUUAACUGUUUUUUUUUAAUUUUUAAAAGAUUAAACUAUUAAUAGGUUU
rnacentral:lncRNA from 1 species